AUGCCUACGUUUUCAAAGGUUAGAGCGUUGUUGGCCAAUGUUCGUUGCUGGGUGGCUUGGAGGAUCAUACCUUUGAGCCGCCGGCCUGGGUUAAUGUGCACAUAUACUGGUGAUACCAAAGAUGCACUGCGCCACUGCCCAACACGUUUGUCUGAUAAAGCAAUUAAUGAUAUGACCAAAACUCUUCUCAAUGAAAGCUUGGAGAGCUGCAGCAAAGUAGGGUUGAAUCCCUUCUGCACACUCAACCCGCCACUGGAUGCUGGAUCCGCCUUUUGGAAAAAGAAGUAUGAUGAGAAAGCCGCCAAGAAAGCCAGGUCUAAGACUAAAGCCCUGAAGAAGAAUAAGAAGAAAUCAACCGCCUCUGAUAUGUUGAACCUGGAUGAGAAUGAUGAGUCGGAGGUAGACUUUGAUUCCCUUGGCUCUUUUUUAAAUUAUCUUAUUGACACUGAUUGCUAUCAGGAUGAUGCGGAAACCAGCCAGGCGGGUGAUGAAGAGCAUGAGAGCCGGUGCAGAACUCGGACCAGUGGAGGCGGAGAGCUUUCCUCCGGUUUACCUAGCACACCAGCCCCACGCGAACGCCGGAAUGAGGUGCUUCAGAAUUCCAACUCUUUUUAUCCCAAGGCAGGUCUUAUUCGCCAACCACUUAAUCCUUCCAACUCAAAUUAUCAGGGGACUUCUCACUCUUCUUCUGGCGAUUCAUCUCAGACCCAGCUCCCGGCUUUCAAGACUGCCCCUGGUGGGAUGGCAAAGCCUAGCAAGAAGGCAAAAAAUAAUAAACCGGUCGAAGACCCAAAUGCUCAUGAGCCGGAGAAGCAAGCACCGGUAUCUGAGGCUUCUGUGGAACGCCCGUAG
rnacentral:rRNA from 1 species